rnacentral:rRNA from 1 species
GACGUAGGGCGCGAGCGUUGUCCGGAAUUAUUGGGCGUAAAGAGCUCGUAGGCGGUUUGUUGCGUCGGCUGUGAAAUCCCGAGGCUCAACCUCGGGUCUGCAGUCGAUACGAGCAAACUAGAGUGUUGCAGGGGAGACUGGAAUUCCUGGUGUAGCGGUGAAAUGCGCAGAUAUCAGGAGGAACACCGGUGGCGAAGGCGGGUCUCUGGGCAACAACUGACGCUGAGGAGCGAAAGCGUGGGGAGCGAACGGG